UAGUCCCUGUGACAAGUAAACUUGAAGCUCAUUUAGAUGGAAAAUUUCAUCAAAAUUAUCACCUUGAGAAUCCCGGAACUCCGUCCACGAUUUAAGAGCUGUUAAGCCAGCAGCUCUUUUAGACGAUUGUGAUGUACACGAAGUAGGGGUUGAAAUAUUUGGCCUAUCAUGCUCUAACGCCUGUUUAUAAGCAUUAUAACCAGUUUGAGCAUUAAAUUGAUGCUUUCGCAUCAGCAAGUGUAGCAAUUUCGUCUUCUGAAAGAUCUAAAGCUUUAUANNN
rnacentral:lncRNA from 1 species